GGGCUUGUGGCUCAGUAGUAGAGCGUCUCGUUCGCAACGAGAAGGCCGCGGGUGCGAUCCCCGCCAAGUCCA
rfam:Candidatus Micrarchaeota archaeon Mia14 chromosome, complete genome.